GGGCAGGGAAGGGGCGGAGCGGCCGGGCCCUCCAUUGGGCGAGCCACGCUGAGGGAUAUCUUAAGAACCAAUCAAAAGCGCGAGUCUGGAGCCGAAGUUGUGGGGGGAAUCGCCAAGCGUACCAGUUUUGGAGGUCACAGGGCCGCGGGGCGCGGCUAAUGGCGGAGCAAGCUGUGAGGGGAGGGUCGUCCAGUUGUCGUCAGCGUGAACGCGGGUGCCCAGUGAGUGUCUGAGAGAACCCCAACUCCAGACCCCAAAGUCUGCCCCGGCCCUGCGCUCGUCUCUGCCUCGUCGACUUUGUCUUAUACCACUGUCCCUUCCUUUUUCUCUGGGGGGUCCUUUUGGUCCCUCCCCUGCCUUUUCCCGCUCAGAAAGCCGAAUUUCGCAGAUUCUCAGCUCCGAGGAGAAAAUUUUGCCGGAAAUUAAAUCCUUCCUUCUGUUAGGCAGUAGUCGAUUGAUGGGAGGAGCUAAAAGUCACUUGGUGUCCUGACAAGAUGUGUUACUCUUUUGCUAAGAUCGUCAUCUCUAAUGCUUUGAGGGAGGUAACUUCUGCACACCUAGAACUUUCGGAUUACUACCGAGCUUGAAGAAUCUUAUUUUGGAAGAGACUUUUUGGUUUUUCUAGACAUUGGACUUUCAUGUACAGUUAAAUUUUCAAGAUAAUUUUGGAGACUUAACAUGGAGUUUUUUACUUUCAUUUUUGCCAAGAGGGAAAAUACAGAUGUCUAUCAGCUUUGAUCCAUGAUGUCAAAAUUCAAACUUGGUACUUACGGAAAGGGCCUCUGCUCCAGUGCAGGAUGGGAAGAAACCAGUUCCCUUCUCCCAACUGCACCUCUGUUUGGUGUUUUCCUGGCAUCCCAGUAGGCAACAAUGAGAAGGCUAAGAAGGACGCCUAGGGCUGACUCCAGGAUAAGUAUUUAGAACUGCAAAGCCAUGUUUCUGCAGAAGGUGCUCCCUAUUCUAUAAUUAAGAAAUUAAACCCCAUUCACACUCAUGACUUAAAGAUAAGACUCAGCUGGGAGGAAGGUGGAUAUUAAGUCUAAUUUCCCACAAAAGAGGAAUGAAAAACCAAAACAAGUAGGCACUGUAAAAUUGUUUUUGUCUUUUUAAUGGCAGGUCAAAUAUCCUGAAACAUACAUAUAUUUUGAUAGUCUUCUAAUCCCAGUUGAGUUCAAAUAUUAAAGUAACACACACGAGCUAAGAGAAUUCAAUAUUGUUCCAAGGCACUUACUGAAUCUCCAUGACUAAAUUAAAACAAGGACAAUUAGGAUGGACAAUUAGACAGUUUAUAAUAUAAAAAUAACUUUUUGCUUACAAUUUACAAAAUGUAUUAUUAUUACAAUCUUUGAUCUCUGAUAACCUGUAAUGCUGGCUGCAUGACUCCAGCAAUUUUAAAAUUCUGAAACUAUUUUCUAAAACUUCAGGGCAAAUAAUUUACAAAUAAGGUACACAAAGAUUUAGACCAUGCAGAAAUUUCUUACAUCUUCUGUUAAUAAUAUUUUAUGACUGUAACUUUAUCAAAUUAUAUACCUACUUGCCCUGUACAUAUACAAAAUAAUGCAUACAUGAUAAAACAUUAGCAAAAGAGUAGUCCUUAAACUCAAUUUAUCAUAAAAGUAUUACUAUAUUAACAUGUCUACAAGCAGCGUGUAACAGGGUUAAGAGACAUUAAGGCAAUAAUACUUGAAGUUACAAAAUAAACCAUAUGUAAUACUUUUUCCUAAGUGUAAUAUAAGGCAGGUAGAUGGUCCCAGCAAAAAACACUAAGGUAACAAUCUACACUGCUGUUAGUCCCACAUUUUUAAGAUGGAAUACUAUAAAUCUGGCUUUCAGUGGCACUUGAAUUUUCCAGUAUAAUUUAAAGUGUCUUUUAGUUCCCUGAAUCAUGUCCAUUCUGAAGGUGGAUCUCUUGGUCCUUUGGGUUUUCCACAGCGAUUACCAAAACCUAUAAUCAAAAUACCACAAUAAUUCUCCAGUGUUCAGAAAUAUUUUUAAACUAUUAAGCUCAUGUCUGUAGACAUUCUUAUUUUAUGGAACAAAUAAAUUUCCAUAUGGAAAUUUAGAACUUAAAACUAAACAAAUCUCU